AUUAGAUACCCGGGUAGUCCACACAGUAAACGAUGGGCACUAGUUGUGGGAACCUUCCACGGUUUCUGCGACGCAGCUAACGCAUUAAGUGCCCCGCCUGGGGAGUACGAUCGCAAGAUUAAAACUCAAAGGAAUUGACGGGGCCCCGCACAAGCAGCGGAGCAUGCGGCUUAAUUCGACGCAACGCGAAGAACCUUACCAAGGCUUGACAUAUACAGGAAUAUGGCAGAGAUGUCAUAGCCGCAAGGUCUGUAUACAGGUGGUGCAUGGUUGUCGUCAGCUCGUGUCGUGAGAUGUUGGGUUAAGUCCCGCAACGGGCGCAACCCUCGUUCUGUGUUGCCAGCAUUUAGUUGGGGACUCACAGGAGACUGCCGGGGUCAACUCGGAGGAAGGUGGGGAUGACGUCAAAUCAUCAUGCCCCUUAUGUCUUGGGCUGCACGCAUGCUACAAUGGCUGGUACAAAGGGCUGCAAUACUGCAAAGUGGAGCGAAUCCCAAAAAGCCAGUCUCAGUUCGGAUUGGGGUCUGCAACUCGACCCCAUGAAGUCGGAGUUGCUAGUAAUCGUAGAUCAGCAACGCUACGGUGAAUACGUUCCCGGGGCUUGUACACACCGCCCGUCACAUCACGAAAGUCGUAACACCCGAAGAAUCU
rnacentral:rRNA from 1 species